AUUGAACGCUGGCGGCAGGCCUAACACAUGCAAGUCGAACGAGUGGCGGACGGGUGAGUAAUGUCUGGGAAACUGCCUGAUGGAGGGGGAUAACUACUGGAAACGGUAGCUAAUACCGCAUACCAUCAGAUGUGCCCAGUUGGGAUUAGCUAGUUGGUGGGGUAACGGCUCACCAAGGCGACGAUCCAUAGCUGGUCUGAGAGGAUGACCAGCCAACCGGGAACGGAGACACGUUCCAGACUCCUCCGGUAGGAAGCAGUGGGGAAUAUUGCACAAUGGGCGCAAGCCUGAUGCAGCCCUGCCGCGUGUAUGAAGAAGGCCUUCGGGUUUUAAAGUACUUUCAGCGGGGAGGCGUUACCCGCAGAAGAAGCACCGGCUAACUCCGUGCCAGCCGCCGCGGUAAUUC
rnacentral:rRNA from 1 species